UAUAUUUGGUUACCUGGUAAGGGGCAACUACGAUUGUAAAGGGAACUAAGGUUGCUAAUCAGCAAACUCUGAGAUGGGGAAAGCAGCCUUGAUUGUCCAG